rnacentral:ncRNA from 1 species
UUUGACUCAAUACGAGUAAACUUACCAGAUUCAGACAUAGUAAGGAUUGAUAGACUGAGAGCUCUUUACUGAUUCUAUGGGUGGUGGUGCAUGGUAAUUCAUAGUGGGUGGAGUGAUUUGUUUGGUUAAUUUUGUUAACGAAUGACCUAUUCUUAAACUUUAAAUAGGUAGGACAGUGCAGCUGCAUUAUUGAGCCGCACCACAGAACAAAGAUCUACAAGUAGUAUCUGAUCAUCUUCGAG